CGCACGACUCCAUAAACA
rnacentral:tRNA from 1 species